rnacentral:rRNA from 1 species
UACGGGGGGAGCAAGCGUUGUUCGGAUUUACUGGGCGUAAAGGGCGCGUAGGCGGCCACCGCAAGUCGACUGUGAAAUCUCCGGGCUUAACCCGGAAAGGUCAGCCGAUACUGCGGGGCUAGAGUGCAGAAGGGGCAACUGGAAUUCUCGGUGUAGCGGUGAAAUGCGUAGAUAUCGAGAGGAACACCUGCGGCGAAGGCGGGUUGCUGGGCUGACACUGACGCUGAGGCACGAAAGCGUGGGGAGCAAACAGG